AUUGAACGCUGGCGGCAUGCUUUACACAUGCGAGUCGAACGGUAACAGGCCGCAAGGUGCUGACGAGUGGCGAACGGGUGAGUAAUGCAUCGGAACGUGCCCAGUCGUGGGGGAUAACUACUCGAAAGAGUAGCUAAUACCGCAUACGAUCUAUGGAUGAAAGCGGGGGACCGUAAGGCCUCGCGCGAUUGGAGCGGCCGAUGUCAGAUUAGGUAGUUGGUGGGGUAAAGGCUCACCAAGCCAACGAUCUGUAGCUGGUCUGAGAGGACGACCAGCCACACUGGGACUGAGACACGGCCCAGACUCCUACGGGAGGCAGCAGUGGGGAAUUUUGGACAAUGGGCGCAAGCCUGAUCCAGCAAUGCCGCGUGCAGGAAGAAGGCCUUCGGGUUGUAAACCGCUUUUGUACGGAACGAAACGGCUCUGGUUAAUACCCGGGGCUAAUGACGGUACCGUAAGAAUAAGCACCGGCUAACUACGUG
rnacentral:rRNA from 1 species